rnacentral:tRNA from 1 species
GCUAGAGAAUGAUAUAUUCAUUAGUCUUGUAAACUAAAAAUGAAGGACUACCACAUCCUUCUAGCC